UUCUUAACACCGACAAACCGACGUGUCAGCUUGUGGGAUUUGGGGAUAAAUUUCUGGCAAAUAAUUCAAACUGAAAUACGUUAAAACACUAGCUCCAUCUAUCCGAUGAUUUACACACUGUUCCGCAUGCAUCUGUGUGCGUGCAUAGAGAAAAACAAGGUUAACGAAAAAUACUAAAUCACGAGUAAAAAUCUAAAAAAAUGUUUUGCCUGACUGAUGGCUUAAAUUCAAUGCCAAAAUUAAUUAGCACAAAUUAUUUUGUUAUUUUUUCAUUUCUUUUGUCGUCUAUCAUUAUGAUUUCUAUUGCCUCGUACUGAAUUUGAAUGUUUUUAUAAAAAUAAUUUGGAAUUGUUUUUGAGAGUUUAUUUUAAAGCACAGUUUGCUAAAUUACGUUUUUCGUGUAUAUAGUGUUUACAUUCAGUUGUCAAAUCAGGCGAUCUGCAGCCACCGCUGCCUAGCUUUUCCAACCAAACAGACCGGCUAUUGGAAUAUGGUUUCGGGACGUUUUAUUUUAUUUACGGCCUUGUGAUUCCAGAAUCCCCGAGAAAACAUCCGGCAGGAAAUCAAAUUUGACGAGAGGCACUUGUGGAACGAACAGCAGCAUUUGUCGAUCGUCACGGUUUGCGGAAAUCCGAUCAAGGAGUUGUUCCGAAUGUGAGACGGAGAAAUAGCCAGCGUCCAACCGUAAUUCGAUUGUUCCAUAACGCCAGCCCUCAUAAUCAACACCAGAACACCAACCGUGGGUGGAACAGUGAUAUUGGAUGCGAAGUGAUGUGGAGUAGAGAAAAAAUGAAAUCUAAUGGAAGAAUUGGAAAUCUAGUAGUGACGUGUGUCUUGCAGCUACGAAUACAGGCCCUGUUGAAGCUGUGUUGGGACCAGUGCUGGAGUGAGGAGGUAGUUUGCAGAUGAAGAUUAAAUUCGCGAAUUUUUGAAUAAUAAAAUAGUGAGAAUGUAGUACAAUCAA